rnacentral:lncRNA from 1 species
GGCAAUAUGAGAUUCAUCUUGCUAGCAAUCUCGCUAGCCUUAGCCGAUCUUGUGGGGAGCCACGCUCUACUUACAAUAGUCGUCAGUCAGAGAAUCGCACUCUACCCGCUGUAUGACCCUAUCUCUGUGAGACCCCAGAUAGUCCUAUAUAUGAGAUAUAAUAGGGCUAAAUUCUUAACCCGGCUUAAGCAUUUUGGAUGGUGGCAAGGCCCAAGAGGUUAAGAGAGUUAAGCAUGCUAGGACGGGAGUAGUCCUAGGAUGGGUGACCCCCUGGGAAGUUGGGCCGUCACAGUUGGUAUCAGAGCCAAUUACCAGCCGGAAGUGUGAGAUGAGUCUCGGCUGAGCCAGGGUCUGGAUGACGGGCUAGCGAGAUGAGUCUCAUAUCGCCUGGUACUUGUGAGUCUGAGCCUGACGAGGAUGUCAGGGCUUAAAGGAGGGGAGAUUGUGAGACCCCAGAUAGUCCUAUAUAUGAAAUAUAAUAGGGCUAAACUCUUAACCCGGCUUAAGCAUUUUGGGUGGUGGCAAGGCCCAAGAGGUUAAGAGAGUUAAGCGUGCUAGGACGGGAGUAGUCCUAGGAUGGGUGACCCCCUGGGAAGUUGGGGCGUCACA